CCUACGGGAGGCAGCAGUGAGGAAUAGUGGUCAAUGGGCGCGAGCCUGAACCAGCCAAGUAGCGUGAAGGAUGAAGGCCCUACGGGUGGUAAACUUCUUUUAUAAAGGAAUAAAGUGAGGCACGUGUGCCGUUUUGUAUGUACUUUAUGAAUAAGGAGCGGCUAACUCCGUGCCAGCAGCCGCGGUAAUACGGCGGAUCCGAGCGUUAUCCGGAUGUGUUGGGGUGAAAGGGAGCGUAGAUGGGUUGUUAAGGCAGUUGUGCAAGUUUGCGGCUCAACCGUAAAAUUGCCAUUGAUACUGGCAGUCUUGAGUACAGUUGAGGUAGGCGGAAUUCGUGGUGUAGCGGU
rnacentral:rRNA from 1 species